GACAUCUGAUUUUUGUGUGACAGCAUUGAAAACAAUGAUCUCCAUCUACAUGAUCAUCACAUCUGUGGCAUCAACAGCUCUGGCAAAAGGGUUUAUGGAAUGCAAUUUGUCUGAACUGACUGGAGCUCACCAGUGUUUUGGAGCAGUGGGGCAGCCGUUGAUUUUUAAUAUUCCAAACACAGCAAAUACAGAGAUUAAGGUCACAAAGGAUGACAAAUAUCACAUUUUCAAAAGAGAUACAAAUCAGAAAGUGACUUACAAUGAGUCUGGAGUCUUGACCAAUCAAAUAUUCAAAAUCAAUAAUGCAACAAAAAGGCCCUCUGGGGUUUACCAGAUGGAAGAAUUUGGAUCGAAUGGUACUUUACUGAAAGUAGUGAAGAUGCAUCUAGAAAUACAAG